AACUUUAUAGUUUAAUUGAAAAAUAUCAAGUUGCAAGCUUGAAGUUAUAAGUAUAUUAAAGUUU
rnacentral:tRNA from 1 species